UUUGGCGUAGGCCCCGUCUCGGAUCCGUCCAGCGAUGAGCGGAUCUCGUCUCCUGCCAAUGGAUGAAGGCAGGGACGGGGAGCCUACCCCCCCCCACGACGAGACGGGGACCAACUGCUGGCGGUGGCUGAAGGAAGAUGAUGUGGUAGGCAGACCAUGCCCGAUGGACGUGGAGGGGAUGUCAAAGUCGGCGUACUGAGAAGCAAAAGCAGUGUUAGGUGGAACAUAUUUAAAGAGCUCACUGAAUUCCUAUAGGCUAGCGCUGAUUGAAAUGAGUGAAUGAUCAGAUUGCAGGGCUUUCCCGAAAAGUAGGCAAAGCUAUGAUUAGCUCCAUGUAAGCAUGGGAAGAGUAAAGCUACACUACGAGUCUUCCUAGUAGAACUUUCGCUGAAGCUAUCAUUUCUACCAGAAAGACUCAGUAGACAGAAUAGAAUCAGUUGACAAUUUAAUUAGUAAAGGAACGGCUUGGAUACAAGCAUGAUAAGAGUCCUGAAUAGGUAACAGUCUUUGGCGUAGGCCCCGUCUCGGAUCCGUCCAGCGAUGAGCGGAUCUCGUCUCCUGCCGAUAGAUGAAUGC